rnacentral:rRNA from 1 species
CUUGGUCAUUUAGAGGAAGUGAAAGUCGUAACAAGGUUUCCGUAGGUGAACCUGCGGAAGGAUCAUUAUCGAGUUUUGAACGGGUUGUAGCUGGCCUCUCGCGAGGCAUGUGCACGCCUGGCUCAUCCACUCUUAACCUCUGUGCACUUUAUGUAAGAGAAAAAAAUGGUGGAAGCUUCCAGGAUCUCGCGAGAGGUCUUCGGUUGAACAAGCCGUUUUUCUUUCUUAUGUUUUACUACAAACGCUUCAGUUAUAGAAUGUCAACUGUGUAUAACACAUUUACAUACAACUUUCAGCAACGGAUCUCUUGGCUCUCGCAUCGAUGAAGAACGCAGCGAAAUGCGAUAAGUAAUGUGAAUUGCAGAAUUCAGUGAAUCAUCGAAUCUUUGAACGCACCUUGCACUCCUUGGUAUUCCGAGGAGUAUGCCUGUUUGAGUCUCAUGGUAUUCUCAACCCCUAAAUUUUUGUAAUGAAGGUUUAGCGGGCUUGGACUUGGAGGUUGUGUCGGCCCUUGUCGGUCGACUCCUCUGAAAUGCAUUAGCGUGAAUCUUACGGAUCGCCUUCAGUGUGAUAAUUAUCUGCGCUGUGGUGUUGAAGUAUUUAUGGUGUUCAUGCUUCGAACCGUCUCCUUGCCGAGACAAUCAUUUGACAAUCUGAGCUCAAAUCAGGUAGGACUACCCGCUGAACUUAAGCAUAUCAAUAAGCGGAGGA